rnacentral:rRNA from 1 species
AUGCCUUAGUAACGGCGAGUGAAGCGGCACAGCUCAAUUUGAAAUCUGGCCCUCGGGUCCUAAAGUAAUUUGUAGAGGAUGAUUUUGGUGCGGUAUCUUCCGAGUUCCUUGGAACAGGACGCCUUAGAGGGUGAGAGCCCCGUACGGUUGAAUGCCUAGCCUCUGUAAAUCUCCUUCGACGAGUCGAGUAGUUUGGGAAUGCUGCUCUAAAUGGGAGGUAAAUUUCUUCUAAAGCUAAAUAUUGGCCAGAGACCGAUAGCGCACAAGUAGAGUGAUCGAAAGAUGAAAAGCACUUUGAAAAGAGGGUUAAAUAGCACGUGAAAUUGUUGAAAGGGAAGGAUUUGUGACCAGACUUUUUCUGGGCGGAUCAUCCGGGGUUCUCUCCGGUGCACUUUGCCCAGUAAAGGCCAGCAUCGAUUUUCGGCGGCGGAUAAAAGCAGUGGGAAUGUGGCUCCCUACGGGGAGUGUUAUAGCCCAUUGUAUAAUACGCUGCUGGGGAUCGAGGUACGCGCUUCUGCAAGGAUGCUGGCGUAAUGGUUAUCAAUCACCCGUCUUGAAACACGGACCAAGGAGUCGAACAUUUAUGCGAGUGUUUGGGUGUUAAACCCUCACGCGUAAUGAAAGUGAACGGAGGUGAGAGCCCGUACGGGUGCAUCAUCGACCGAUCCUGAAGUUUUCGGAUGGAUUUGAGUAAGAGCAUAACUGUUCGGACCCGAAAGAUGGUGAACUAUGCGUGGAUAGGGUGAAGCCAGAGGAAACUCUGGUGGAGGCUCGCAGCGGUUCUGACGUGCAAAUCGAUCGUCAAAUCUGCGCAUGGGGGGCGAAAGACUAAUCGAACCAUCUAGUAGCUGGUUACCGCCGAAGU